rnacentral:miRNA from 1 species
UGCCACAACAAAGCUAAUAAC